rfam:Clostridium sp. CAG:253 genomic scaffold, scf290
ACAGUACAAACUGAGCAGGCCGACACAUAGGAGCCGGGUCACAUUAGUGACAGUGGAUUAUCAUAGUCAGACGAUUAUUUCUCCACGGGACAGUA